GCAGCAUGAGGGCACCCAGCAAGUGGGUAGGACGACCAGGCUGCCCUUGGUGACACCAUGAGUCCUCCCUUCCUGGGCUCAGGCCUCUAAAGGGAGGUCUCACUGGGAGCUCCUGACCUGGAAUGCCUCCACAGAAAGGCCUGUGACCUCUUGGCCUUUAUUUCCUGGCCUUCUGAAAGGUCAGACUUGGAAGCUUACUAGGGGGCUGAGCAGUGUAGUCUGUUAGGGUCACUUUUGUCAGAGAGUGAUCAGCCAUGUUCCCCACAUUUCCACUCUAGGAUGAGAAGACCAAAUCAUGGGGACCCCCAGCAGGAGACAGCUAGAACUCUCUAUCUGCCCACCCUGGGUAACCACCCACCGCAGCAAUGCUUGUGGGGGGACAAGGCAGAGAUAUUUUACACCAUGACCUGGAUUGAUCUCCUUGUUCACGCACUUCAGGUGGCUCAUGGGGGAUACACCAUGGGCCUUCCUUUUACCAUCUGGUCAGCCAGCCACAGAAGCAAUAGCAACCAUUUAUUGAGCACUUACCGUGUGCCAAGCAAGAUGCUCAGCUCUGCAUUUAUUAUCACAACAGCCCUGGAAGUUACUAUUUUAAUUCCCAUUUUAGAGUUGAGAAAACGAAAUCUUGGAGACAUUACUAAACUUGUCCAAGUUCAUACAUCUAAUUGUGGUGGAGCUAGGAUGCAAAUCCAGGCUACAAAACUUGGGUUCUUAACCACUGCACUAGACCUGCUUCUUCCAACCAUUCACCCAGUUAUCCGGUUACCCAUCUGCAGAAGAUAGGAUCCACGCUUAAAUUAGGAUAGUUAAAAAUGAGCUUUAUAUGGGAUCAUUUAAAACAAGAUGAGGAGGCAGGUGGUGUGCAAGGAAACCACACAGGAUCCUUCCAGUGCCCUAGAAUCAGAAACAGCAGAACCAGUGUCUCCCAGAACCUGAAGGGCUGAAGUGGAGGAAGGAGGCAGAGAGGGCUGCCCAGCAGGAGCCGAGCCUAUCAUCAAGGGAAGUGGCCAGGCUGAGGCACCACAGAGAGAGAGCACACCCAGGAAUAAGUACCAUGGCUUUCCUCUUCCCUCCUCCCUCCCUGGCUGCCUCUCUCCUAACUCCUGCUUGGCUCCCCUUUGGGUUCACCCAACCAGAAGCCAAAGGGCACUGGAGCCUGUCAGUGCUGCCCCUUCUGGUCAACUUCUGGACACAGGGUAGGGUUGAGGGGAAGGAGAGCAGGUCUGAAGGGCACAGAGGAGGUGUCCUAUGCACCAUCCGUCUACCCGUUGGCAUAGUUGCUGUGUCAAGCUCUGCUAUUGGUAUGGGGAUAUUAUUUCAGGCAAGACACACGUGGUUUGUUCAUUCAUUUGUUCAUUCAUUCACCAAAUACUCUUGAAGCCCCCUCUAUGAGAAGCUCUGCACUGGGUGAUGGGGACUGGGAGGAAUACAACUUACCAUACUUUUGAAUUUUAUAUGAAUUAUUGGCUAUUCUGAGAUGUGCCCUGGAGAGCUGCUUUCUUGCUUAGAAAGUGUGUGUAUGGUGGGGGGGUGGGGGUGUCAGAUGAGACAGAAAUCUUCCAACCAGCAGAAAAUCUAUUUGCUGAAUUUCCUGAUCUGACCAAUUAGUCUUAAGAUUAUAUUUGGCUUUUAGGGGAUGGAAGCUGUAGUCCUGGGGAUGCACGACUACAGUGACUUGGUCUCAUUAACAUCCUGAUGAGGAAACAAGGCCCCAUGGAGCAAGUCACAGUCCUGCAUUCCAAGAGCUGCUAAGAUACAAGAGGGGGUGGCUGGUGAGAGCCCAUUUAUCAAAGGUCUGGCCCUUGCAGGAGCUAUGCCUCCCUCUGGGCCCUGCCUCCCCAACUGCAUGGAGGUGCCGGAACUGACCCCUGCUCUGAGGUUCAGUGAGUCUUGGAGGAGGCUUCAGCUGGGUCUCCUGUCCUUUACCCUGUGCCAUCCCCAGAGCCGGAGCCAUGCCCUGCAUGAACGCCUCUGUGCUUCUGAUUUCCUUGAGACCUUCAGGCCGCUUCCUCGCUUCCCUGCACUCAAUUACAACCCACUCCCCUUGGCCCUGAUUUAAUUACUGCAGCGGGUGCCCAUCUGAGCUCAUUACCACCUGGCUGCUCAGACUGCUGUGAGGUUAAUGGUGCUGCCAGCGCUGAUCUGAGGGGUCCAUGCAGGGUGGGGGCAGCUGAGAGCCUACCUGGAUAUGUGAGGGGUCUGCCUCUACAAUCCCCCCAUCCCCAGGACACCAGGAGCCCUUGAUGCUCACACAGUGAUGUGCUCUCAGCCCUCGGGCCUGGCAGGGAUGGGUUCGAUCUGCCUCCUCCGUCUCCAGCCAUUUUUGUUGGCUUAGUCGGUCGGUAGACUUUCAAAGUAAUUUCUUGCAAGGCUUUUUCUAUCUGUAUAUUUGUAUUUCAGUUUUUGUGAUCUGCGUGGGCCUCUAAAGUUCAAAGCCCAGGCCCCUCCUGCCUAGAUCUAAGAGUGGGUCUGAGCAGAUGGAAAUAUGGGCCUUCAACAGAUGCCAUCAAGGAGAUGCUGGUGACUGAGCUGCCAGUGGGAAUGGGGGCAGCAGGGGCUGCCGUUAUGGGUCAUGUGCCCUGCACCUCUGUACCUCUGUCUGCCUCCAGAACUUAGACGCCCUCCAGGUAAAAGGGCUGGGAAAGCCCCUAAAUUGUCUGCAAAAGCCCUGAGCUGACCAGAGUCUAUCCAGCAGCAGCAGAAGGAAGCUAAGCAUUAAGGUCACAAUUCUGUGCCCAAAGCGUGGCUUUGUGAUAUCAUCCAGCCCUCUCUCCACCCAGGCUGGGUGGCCAUCUCGGUGGUUAGCUCCUGCCAUUCUGCUGCAAUGGAAGCAAAGCCCCCUCCUGCUGGAAGUGUCACUUCAUUUUGGGAAUGGGGCUGAGAACAGAGGAUAGAGUGGGUGGCCAACAUGAGGACUCCAAAACUCUAAGCAAUGGUUAGACGAUCACAGGCUUUGGAGCUGGUCUCUGCAGCCUCCAGGCUGAGGUUAUCUCAGACUUCUUUGAGUCUCAGUUUUCCUAUCUGUAAAAUGGGGAUCACGACACACCCUACUUUCGUUAUCAAGUUGCCGUGAGAAUGAAAUGAGCUGUGGCAUGGGAAGCAUUGGCACAGGGCCUGGCUCUCUACUCAUCGCAGCUACCUUCUUCUUGGGGUGAGGGCUCCUUGGUAUAAGGUUACCAUGCCCCAGGAGAGUGAAGGUCAGACUGUCCCUGAAGAGGAGAGGACUUAGAUGCUGGGUUUCUGUUCUCGCGAGGUAAACUGGGCUAACUGGGCUGCGCAAAAUAACCACACAACAGACACAAGUACCUUUUUCUUUGGGGUCGCUGUGACGGCUCCUCUGACCUUAAGGGUCCGCAGGAAGAGAGAGCAGAGCACAUGCUGACCCCUUUUAUUGAGGAGAAGCUAUUCAAAUGAGGCAAGGGGUCAGGUUUCAGGGGGUUGAGUCUAUCUUCAUGAUAUUCACUGUCAGCUGGUUGACUGACACCAGGAUAGGCCACACCCAAGGGCACAGUAAGAGGAGGGGACACACACAAGGCGCUUCCAUGCCCUAAACAGGGCAAGGGGUUAUAUUACAAAGGAACGGGUGAGUGUAGCCCCACCCAUGGGGCUGUAGCAAGACACACCAACCCUCGAACCCAAGAAAGGUGGGGAAAGCUCUGCCACAUUUCUGAGACUGAGCGCCUCAGCACCCAGCCGGGGAGUGUGACUCAGUCACGUGCAAGGUUGGUCUCCCACACUUGGACACUGACCAAAGCUGUUUUGCAUUAGAAACUAUGCAUGGGGAGUUCUUUGUUCUCAUUCUUGUCCACGAAGCAAUUCCCAUUUCCAUGCCCUCUGAUACCUUUUAAAUCCAGAUCGACCAUGGACGAGGUGAGAGAGUGGCUGGCCCUUUAACCUUGAAUCCACCUUUGGUUGAAUCUGCAGAUGCAGAAUCCGUGGCUAUGAGGGGAGUGUGACAGUGUACAUAUGGCAGCAUUUCAGGCGUAGUGGCUCCUUAGAGAGCACUUUUCUUAUGAGGAUCGCUACUCAGAUGUCUACAUGUGCCUUGUCGGUCACCUAGAAUUCAGAUGGGCAGUGGGCACCCAAUCAGGAAGAGUGCCCUGUAAGGAAUUAAAUUAUAUUUUCUUUAAUGAGAGAAAAAAUGGGCAGAAAAUGAUCUUGGAGUCCCUGAGUGUGACCUUCCUUACAAUGUUGCUUAAGAAAGGUCCCCACCGCAUAGGAGAGCAAUGGUCCCUGAGGAAGGGGACAGUGGGCCAGGGUUCUCUAGAAGGCAGGCAAGCCCUGGAAGCUAGCUGCCUCCUGGGUUGCCUGGGAACGAAGCUAAGAAAGGGGACAGCUAACUGCUCCUGCACCGGGGCUCGGGCUGCUGGGGUGCGAGGGGCUGAAAGGGAGAAGCCCGAUGUGGAGGCUUCCUGUUCUUCUCAACUCCUGAGAAACACAACCGCCCUUUGAAAGGCCUGGGAGAAAGCAUGGCGAAAAGCCAUCCCCGGGUGGGGACAGCCGUGUGGUCAGAGAAAAGGGGUAUUAAUUAGAGUGUAAUUAGAGUGUUUUGAGGGUUGAAAAGAAGAGCUGCCUGAUCCCUGAGCUAAUCAAGAGGAGAAAAAGGGACAGGAAUCUUAUCGGCGAGAUGAUGACAGUGCCAAUCUUACCCCAUAGGAUGACCCAACCCAUGGCUACAGGCCAAGCAGGCUGAGCUGCAUCCUUAUCUGAGUUCAGCUUGCAGUUGGUGGGACAACUCCUAGGGGACCAUGGUGGCCUGGCAGAGGGCCCUGCCCUGUGUCAGUUUGUGGGAUCAAGUUUCCAUUCAGGGCUAUCGUGCAACAUGGAAGGGUGGUGGUGGCAGGGGCUGCUGGGACAUGGGCUGGCUUACGGCUAGGGAAGGUAGACUAAACCCUGCCUCUACUUUGUGAGGGACAAUUCAGGGGGUCUCUUUCAAAAAUUGCAGAAAAAAUCUGAGCAAAUUUUAACUUAGAAGAAACAUCUCCUAAAGGAGAUGUUUGCUGUAUUUGACCACAUGCCAAUUAGGAACUUUUUUUGAAUAAGAGACAGAGGAAGGUUAAGACUCAAAUGACAAAUAAAGAGAAAUAUUUGCUACAUAUAUAAGAGGGGAUCAAUGUCUAGAAAAUAGAAAGAACUUUAAAAAUUAAAAAUUAAAAAAAGAUAAACCAAUAAAAACUGGGCUAAGGGUUUGAUUAGGAAAUUCACAAUAGAAAUAAAAAGGAUUUAAGGUUGCAAAGAUGACCUCCUUGCUGGUCAUCAGGGAAAUAAAAGUCUAAAAAAUGAAUUGAGGCUGGGUACUCAAAAAAAAGUUUGUUCAACUCAUAGUUCUGGAGGUUUAAGGGUAUGGUGCCAGCAUGAGCUCCGCUACCUCAUGGUCAACUGCACAACAAGGGAGUUUGUGCAGGAGGAAGUAAUCACAGUGCCAGACAGGAAGUCAAAGAAAGGGGAGGGGCCCGGGCUUGCUCCUUUUUUAAUCAACUCUCUCACAACCCUCUCAUGAGAACUAACUCAGGAAUCCCAGAAGAACUAUUAUAAUUCCUUCCAAAUGCAGAACUCAAAGAUCUAAAGACCUCCCACCAGGCCCCACCUCUUAAAGGUCCACACCAUCUCCUAAUAUCAUCACACUAGGGACCAAGCCCCCUGGGGGAUAAACCACAUCCAAACCAUUGUAAUAUUCAAGUUGAUAAGAGUUGAUGGCCUGGUGAGUUGCUGUAGCCCCCUGACAGAUCCUAUCAGAAUUUAAAAUACACUUUGUAUAUAACCCAGCAAUUGACCUCAUGGUAUCCACCCCAAAGAAACACCUUCAAAUGAGCAUGAAGAGUAAAGCACAAAGAUGUUUAUGGCAGCAUUGUUUAUAAUACUGAAACAUGGGGGGAGAUCUAUAAGAAUGGGGAUGGUUAAAAACCCUGGUAUGUCAUUCAUGUUAUGGAAUCCUUUGCAGCACAGAGCCACGCAGCCCUAUAAACUUGCACUUAUACUGUGGCCUGAGAGAGGGAGGCAAGAGCAUUUGCUUAGCUGGGAUGUCUUGUGUUCCAAGUGACCUACAGGCUGAAUUGAGAGGCUGUGGGGAGGCCCCUGGGCAGUGGUUAGAUGAAGAAGAGGGUAGAGACUGUGGUUCUGCAGGUUCCCAGAGCCCAGGUGUAAUCUGGUCAGGUGGAAUCACCACUGGAGGCAAGGCCUGGGAUAAAAGAAGACCCCAGUUUGCUAGCUGGAGACCCCAUCUGAGGAGCCCAGCAAUCAGGCAGGUAGAGGAUUAACCUAGAGAGUCAGGUGGCGUCCUGAUUCUGCCUCUUCAGGGCAAUCAUCUUCCUGCCUGGUUGCUCACAUUAAUCCCCCCACCCCCCGCCAAUACCCCCAUUCACACUCCUGACAUUUUCCAACACCUCCACAUGGUAUGUGAAAGAUACCUGAGGGAGGAAGCAUUUUCAUACAAGGCAGACUGAAUAUCACCUGGAUUGUUUAAAUGAUCAGAUCAGACUGAACUUCAAGCCAAAUAGGAUGACAUUAUGUACUUUUUUUCCUGUUGACCAAGGGAGGGAGGAGUUUAGGAGGAAAGUCAGAUUUAUAACAAACAAAGUUUAUUAUAGCCUCCUUGUGCACUGGAGAGCACAGGGAGCUGAGUUUUGUGGCCCCAAUGCGAAGCACUUGGUUUUUCAGUUUCCUCUGCCUGGAAUGAUAUCUCCUCCCCUCUCUUCCUGGUUGGUUUCAGCUCAUCUUUCAAUUUGGCCCUGGUAUCCCCUUCAGGCCCUGUCGUGUUUCUUUUCAAUCAUGGGUGUGUGCCAUAUGUGGCUAGAAGAUGACUGGGCUAUAAACAUUUGUUUCGUGUCAUGGUGGGACACAGGCAGAAAAGAAGGCACUUAUUUGGUUCGAGGCAUGAGAGGAAGCAACCCAUUUGGAAGAUUUAAGAACUGACAAGAUUUUAGCCCAGAAGAAGAAUAUCCUGAUGAAGAGAAGAGACAGAAUUAGAGGGAAGAAAGCUGAAGUAGGAUACAUACAAUUUGUCCUGAACAAAUACUCCAAUGUUUCCUACAAACAAGGGCAUUUUCUUAUGUAACCACAACGGGACCAUCAACCUCAGGAAAUGGACAUGGAUACAGGACUGCCAUCUACUCCUUGGGACCCAUGCAGGUAUCUAAAAUUGUCCCACUCGUGUCCUUUAGAGCCAAAGGAUCUGGUUCCAAGUCUCACAUUACCAAGUCUCAGUCUCUUUCAGAGUAAGGCGGAGCCAGGGCUUUCCUGAUCUUGAAGAUUACAGGCCAGUUCUCUGCAGCACACCCUGCAAUUUUGGUUUGAGUGAUGUCUCCUCAUCACUAGAUUCAGGUCUUGAGUCUUCAGCAGGAACGUCCCAGGGGCUGCUGUAUUAUGGUUUCAUCUUGUCCCAUCACCGGUAAUGUAUGCUGUGAUCCCUUGGAGAGAGUUUGCCAGGCUUCUCCACAGGAAAAUCACUGCAGAAAUCCCUUUUCCAUUUAUACUAAAUAAUUAUAUUGUGGGAGGAAUUCUGAGACUAUAUAAAUAUCCUGCUCACCAUCAAAUUCUCCCUUCCUUCCUUUCCUCCCUAACAGUUUGGACUCGUGGUUUCUUAUUUUAUUUAAGGAGUUAUAAUCUGUUACUAUCAUUACUUAUUUUGGUGCAGAGAGUAAUGCAGAUUUGCCCAUGGAUGCUCCUGCAAAGUACCUGCUGGGUCUUUCUGACCUGUCCCCAUCAUUCUUUAGGCACUUAUUUACUUUCAGUUACUACAGGCUGUUCCAGAUUCAUCUUGUGUUUUCCCUGGAGUGGCCUGGAAUCAGGCAGCACUGGCUCCUUUUAGAAGCCAAGAUUUAAGUGCUCAUUGCUUUGGGGUGUUGCUCCCAGGCACUCUCAGCAGAGAGGGCUGCAGAGUGUAUCUCUCUGAGUUCACAUCACCACCUCUGAUUCCAAACCAACAUCACGGGUUAGUUCUGUUUCUCUCUCUGGCCAUAUUUGUAAUUCUCCUUGCUAACAGUGGAAACAUGGCUCCCGUUACUUUAAUAUACUUAUUUGAUUAUUUACAACUACUCUCUCAUCACAACCACAGCUCCGUGUGUGUAGACACCCUCCUCACCCUGCAUGGGCUCUGGCAGCCCAUGCUGGACCCCACCUUCCUCGUGGCCCAGGGGAAGUAGUAGAUAAAGGCUGAUGUUGAUUGAACUGCCCCACUCAAUGCUCAGAAAUUCAAGGGUUAACCUAUAAAAAUGCCUUUUAAUUUUGAAUUGUUACCGGAAAGGAAAACAUUUGCUUGCAUAACUGGGAAAAGCUCUUAAGAAAUAUUGUCAAGUAAAUGAAAAUGCAAUUGAAAAUCCUUAUUGAACAGGUACAUACAGCAGCACACACCUGCGAUCCUAGUGAUUCAGGAGGCUAAGGCAGGAGGAUUGCAAGUUCAAGGCCAGCCUGGGUGACUUAGCAAGACUAUGUUUUAAAAUAAAAUAAAAAGAGCUGGGUUGUUCCUCGGUGGUAGAAUGCACCUGGGUUCAAUUCCCAAUACUGGAAAACAAAACAAAACACACAAGAAAUCCUUAUUGAGAGGCUGGAGUUGUAGCUCAGUGGUAGAGCACUUGCCUAGUACGUGUGAGGCACUGGGUUUGAUCCUCAGCACCACAAAUAAAUAAAUAAAUAAAUGUAUUUAAAAGUAAAAAAGAAAAAGAAGAAACCCUCAUUGAAAUCUUGGAACCUUGUGAACAACACAGCCUGAGACUCCUGGUUUGAGGCCCUUUUCCUGAACCCUGUGGUCUGCUUCUAUACCUUUGUAAGUCAUGCUUACAAAGGGUGGUUGGAUGUGCCUGCUAACUGCAUUAUUGUCACACACACACUCACUGUCACAAUACCAUUGUCCUGCUGCAUGGUCUCAGGUUGAGAAAUUCGGUGGCUUCUCGUGUCUGUGGUUCAUGGAUGUUGAUGUCCAUGGCUGACAUUUCCUAGGCUGGCCAGGGUGCCCACCUCCAGGGGCCAUCCAUCUGACAUCCUGUGUCUGAUCUGAGGUCUGAGGAACUGCAUCCUGCUGGACAGGAAGGUGUGGAAGUGGAAAGCUCUGUCAGUCCCACCCCACACCCCAGCCAUGUGCCCCUUCUGUCCUUCUGUGUCUCUGCUGAUAGCCAUCACGCGGAUCAGGUAGGGGGCCCUGGAGACGGUUAGCCACCGGCAGAGCCACCACCUGGGGAGAGGCUGGCUGGAUGUUGACCUCUCUGGGUGUUCAGGUCUCCUGCCACAGCCAGGGGACCUUGUCUCUCCCUCCUGUCUCUCCUCCUGCUUCUCUCCCUUUGGACCUUUCUAUCCAUUAUCAACCUUUCCUCCAGGUGUCUUUUUCCUUUCACUAUCUCUGUCACUUGUUUUCUCAGCCUGAUUCUGCUACUGAUUCAUUGGGCCUUGGUUUUCUCAUCUGGAAAAUGGGGAGAGGGUUGGAUCCUCAGGCCCUCCUGGCUCUUCCCUCUCCAACCGCCUGCCCCUGUAACAUGUCCUCUCAUCUGCUCCUUGUCUAUCUUGCAUUCUUUCCUCUCUGCCUCUGAUUGCUCUUGGAAUCUCUCUCCUUCCCCUUCUUCUAUGACUUUACUUCCCUCCUGCAGCAUCCACUUCCUGUCUUAAUUUUUCCUUCUCUGAAUCUAGUUCUCUUUCUCCCCCUCUCUCCUUCUGUUUCUCUUGCUUGUGACUCUAGAGUCUCUGUCUCGUGUCUCUCUCUGCCUUCCUCCCUUUUUCCCAUCUAUGACAACUUGUUCUGAACUGUUUCCCUGUGUCACUGACCCCCCUCCACUCUGCUGUCUCAGUCUUUCCUAAUACCAAUGUUUCUGGGUUUCCACCCACUUCCCUCUCCCUAUUUAGAGUCCUCCUUCCUGGUCAUGCCCUGGCAGAGGACUGGGAGCUGGGCUCUGGUGCCACGAGAUCCCCACAGAGCCAGCUCCUCCCUGUGAUGGGAACACCAGCUGUGAGGCUGGCCCUUGGAAGCAGGUGGGGCCCAGCUGGCUGCCUCUGCCUCAAAGAAGGCUCGGAAAGUCACAUGUGGCACUCAGAAGGUAGAAAUCCUGCCACAGCCCAAACCCAGAGUAGGCUUCGGCUUCACGACCAAGCCUACACCGUGUGUGUGGGCACAUGUCUCUGCACACACAGCUGGGCACCAGCUCUGGUGGUCAGCUCCCCUCAGGGAUUGCUGCUGGCGUUCAGAUUCACUGAAAGAUGGCUUCCUUUCCUUGGAGCCUACUCCAGCCUUGAUCGCAAGCUCCCAGCCCUGGGCUGGCUCUUGGAAUGUCUCCAUGUGGAGAUGAUCAACACUCACAGGGAGAGAGUUCUGGCCCAUGCACAGGUGAGGAGUUGCUUUAAACCCCAUCAAGCCUGCAGAUUCUGUGCCUUGCACUCUCCCCCCUCACUCCGUCCCAUGCUUUCUAGAAUUCAGACCUAGCAGACAUUCCCUGGCAUCCAUGGGUGCCAGGUGAUCCUGUCACUGUACACAAACCCACAGCCUCCCCAAGAGGUGGGCACAGUUCUCCAUUUCAUAGGUGAUAUUUAGGUUCCUGAGGUCACAGGCCAGACAGAGGCACAGCCCAGCACAAGUCCAAUCUGCCCAUAUUGUUCUCUGCCCACUGUGACAACUCAAGGUUGAAGAAUUGGCAGUGGGGGUGCCAGGGGGCAGGGAGAAGCUGUGUUGGCCUGCAGAAGCAGACCGUUGGCAGCUGGUCCUGGAAAAGGCACAACAGAAAUAAAGUACGUCAGACUGCUGUUCCAGUAGGGACCAGGCGGAGUUCAAGGCCCGGUGUUUUCAGGGUGGGGCAGUGUGGCAGGCCUGACUCUGUAGGGUAAGAGUUGGAGGCACAGGCAAAUCACAGGUAGCACAGCCCGGAGGAAGUGAGAAAGUCCCAAAGCAUGGUCCAAGAGGAAGCUGUGACAGGCCUCGCUUCUUGGAGGUGGCUGGAUGGUGGUUUAAUAGCACAGACAAGGAUUUGCCUCCUCCCUGGCUCACAGCCCAGGGCCUCUGGAGCACUGCAUCAGGAAAGGCUCCUCAGGUCUCCAAACCCUGGUGUCCGCUCUGUGCCAUCACUCUUGCUCCCAGUCCAUGGUAAGUUCUUCAAACACUGUGCCAGGCCUCCCCUCUGGGGUCACUGGGGCCAUGGAGAGUACUGGAUAGCACUUCAGGCUACAAACUGCCCCCUGAGCCUCCAGGACAUUGGCAAGGGCCCAUCUGACAAAUGUGGCUCCUUUCUCAUCACCGCUGCUCAGGGUUUCUGGAUUCCCUCAUCUACUCCUCGCAGUUCGCCAUCGACUCUGCGCAGUUGUUGCUUCCGUCUGGCUCCAGUUCCGAUGUUCAUCCGGGGAUGGAGAUGAAGUCGCAGAGGGGGUUUCAUCCACUUGCACAUGCAUGAGGGUGGAGGGGCUGGAAUUCACCAGACCAGGGAUCCCUUCCAAAGCCUGUGGUUCUCAUCUCCUGAUGUGCCCCAUCCUUUCCCAUCUUCCAAAUCUCUGCCUUCCCUACCAAAUUACAGCAGCACCCUGUCUCACUGGCAUGAAAAAUGGAGCAGGCACAGAGUAGAAGAUCAGAGAAUAUGGAACCCACAGAUGUGCAAAGGUGUGCAUGUGACUAGUGAGCAGGAUGCCCCCGAGGAACUUCAUCAAGAAUGGACGGGAAGAUUCUAUUGAAGCCCAGGACUAGGAGCCUGGAUGUGAGCUGCUGGCAGAAGAGGCAGACCCUCCUGGUGGCAGAGGUGUUGGCUGGCUCAGUGGGGCUGUUGCAAUACAAACGUCUCAGGCUAUAGGCUCAGCAGGAGAGGGUUUAGGCCAGGGCAGGUGUGGUCCUGUUCAACUCUACGCUGGCCUGCAGCACCUGGGCAUGUUCUGGACACUGACUGAUGUGAGAAAAAAAGGCUCACUGCAGGUACCUUCCCAUGUGGGCCUCGGCCAGGCUGCAGACCUGCGCUCAGCAUCAUGGGGACCAGCUCACCCCCGAAGCCUGACUGCUAUUCUGUGUUCUGGGCUGGACACUCCUCUGGCUUGGCACAGCCAGUUGCUUUGUGGCAUCUUAAAGUUUUGUUGUUGUUGUUGUUUAUUUUGUUUUUUGAAGUUGUGUCUAAUUGGGCUUUGCUUUCUGCAGGGUGCCCCCUGCCAAUGAGGGCCCUUCGAGGUCCCUCUGAAGCAAUUGGACCCAAGCCUUGUCCCUGUGAGAAAUCCUGGCAGGGGUCAGGAGUGACAGUUAUGCAUAAAAUCACCACCAAAGGGAAUACGUGGCCUUUUACUGUCCUGUUAAGUGAGCAAAUUCACACCCUGGGGAGGUGCAAGUUAAGUUCACAUAAAAUCUUCAUUUCCCACAUUACCAACUUGCACCUGGAGCUCCUCUGGGGCAGGGUGCAUUUGGUGUCUGCCCAGGUGGCAGGAUGGUCUCCCGUGUCUGCAGCAUCUUCCCCAGCCUAAGAACAGCUCCCCAGACUGUCUUCCAUCCCCAGGAACUAACUACUUUCACUCAAAUAGAAUUUUCUUCAUUCUCACAGAAACUUCAUUUGGAUCCUCAGAGACUGAUGCCUUUUCUUCUUACCUCGUGCUUUCUGGGGGACGUCUGGGGGACGUCUCUGAGCCCCAAAGGCCUCACCUGUAAGUGUCAUGGACCUCCAGCAGACCAAGCACUGUCCUUGUGAGAACACAGAAGAAGGCAUGCUUAUCUCCCUGGGCCCUGGGCAGAGAGUGUGCUCUCUGAGACCCCCGGUACAGGCAGCAGGCGUGGCUGUCUCUGAGCCUGCUUUUGAUGACUUGCUCCUACACUCAGCAGACUCUGACUUGGCCUUCAGUGCCUUGAGACUUUCACCUGCCAGAGCUGUCAAUAAACUACAGGAGAAGCCCAGGUGUUCCCUCUUGUAGGUGGUUCAAUGCCAAGAGGCGCUAGCUGAGGCCAGUUACUUGAAGAUUUGGUGCCCCCUGCUGGAUAAAGACUAAAAUGCUAAGAGGAGACAACACUUUUUCAAAAGGGCAUUUAUUUCAUCCAUCAGCAUCCUUCCAUUAACCUUUCCACCUCCCCAUUAAGCUACCAUCCACACACCCACCCAUCAAUCCAACCAACCAACCAUUUACCCAUCUAGCCAUUCACAAGCCUAUCCAUCCUAUUCAUCCAAACACACACACACAUACACACACACAUACACAUACACACUCACACACACACGUGCCAGUCUCACUCAUGUCCUUUAGGCAUCACCCACUUUCACAGGGUCUCCCAUUGCAACAGUCCCACGCUCCUCUUCUGCACCAGGCCCUGCAUAGGCUUCAGUGAUAGAAAAAGAAGAAGGAAGGCCUUCAUCUGUGUCUCUUUCUUAUUUGCAGAUCACCCUUAUACGCAUCAUAUCUUCUGUCCCUGUAGUGUCCUUAAAGAGCCUAAAGAUCCCAAUUUGACUGAUGAAGAAACUGAAACCUGAGAGACCAAGUGGUAUGGCAGAAAUAGUCUGGGGACAGAGAGAUCAGUUUCAAAUCAAGGCUCUGUUGCUUACUAAUUCUGCCACCCUGGGCAAGUUUCUUAAGUUCUCCAAACCUUGAUUCCUUAUCUGUGAAGUUAGCUACUUUGACAUAUAUUUAUUGUGUAUAACUUAGAUGCCAGACUUGGCUUUGGGGCACAGCAAUGAAUAAGGAGGGAGGGGCCCCUGCUCUUGUGAACCUUACUGGGCUAUUAUGGUAAAAUUUAUACGAGAUGGGAACAUCCUGCAUUGUCAUAGAAACGCCACUUACGUCAUGUCUUUGUUACUACCUCUGUAAAGAACACAAUCAGGUUAAGAGAUGCUUUUGUGGGAAAAGAAAAGUUUAGGUAAUGUUUUUAAAAAGCAGUACAGAUAGAGGUCGGGAGCACAGACUUUGGAACCAGGCUGCCUGGUCUGAAUCCCAGCUCUGCCACCUGAGAAGCCUGUGACCUUCAGCUGGUAAUAACCUCCUUGCACUUUGGUUUUCUCAUCAGCAGAAUGGGGAUAACAAUUCAGCAUGUGCUUUAUCACAUAUCUAGCCAAGCACAUAUCGGGGCCCAGUCAUGAACAAGAUGGGGAAGGCCCUUCCUAUCUCAGGAGGGCAGAGGGGCCACUGUGUGCCAAGCACCCAGUACAGCCUGAGACUCCCAUGACUGUGUGCAGAGGCUCUUGUGGUGAAAUUCACUAGUACUUUCUGUUGUUGCUCCUUGGCUCCCUGGGGCUGAUGAGAGCAGCAACCAGGGUGCAGAAGUCCCAGUCAAUUAACAGGUCAGAAGUGUCAAUAGCCGAGCAGCCCCACGAGAGGGACUGGUAAGUGGCUAAGCAUGGAGGAGUGUGAGCAGGGUGGACAUACAAACAGGCAGUGCUGCCCAGUUGGAGAGUUGGCACAGAGGCCACUUAAAGCUCCUUCCUCAAUCAAGAGGCUCCAUUUUUCUGGGGGCACAGAUGGAGUUGCUGUUAAUACCCAUGGGGAAGCCCCCAAAAUGGAGAGAAAAUAGCCAGGGUGGUACUGCCUCUUGGGGACACUCACCAGAGCGUCUGCCUGACACCUGAGGCCCUCUGCUAUGGCUCAGUUUCUUCCAGGAUCUAGGGAGACUGGUGGACAACCUGGGCACCCUUCCCAGGGACUGCCUCCUAGUCCUAGGCACACCCCCGACGCCAGGUUGAUGUAUAUGACACCGAGACAAACCUUCUCAGCCUCCCCCCAAAUUGCAGAUUCAUGAACAAAGUAAAUGAUCCUUGUGUUAAGCCUUGAAGUUUGGGAUGGAUAACUAGACAGCUAGAGCAUGCCCUGUACUCUGCUUAGCUCUCCAAGAAUUCAAGGAGAUAAUGUGUUUCUAGAAUAUAUGAAUUAUGUCACCUUGUGAAGUUACUUACCUGCCCUCAGUCUCUGUUUCUCAUCUCUAAAAUGGUGACAGGAAUCGUAACAUCUGGAAAAAUGCACACAGAGUCACAGCAGUCUGGGUAAAUACCCCUGAUACCUGCCCCUUGUCUUCAGGGUGAAAUCUAAACUGCCAAGCCUGGUAUUUAAGGCCCGUUUCCAUUUGGUCCCUGAAAAUUCCUCCAGCCUCAUCCCCUGCCACGUCCUCCGACUCAGGAAUCUUGGCAUCGUCCAUGCUCCCAGGCCUCCAGACACCUGCUUCUGCUGAUCCCUGUCACCCAUGCACUGUCUGCUCCUAUCUGCCUGGUGAACUGCUGUGGACGCUCAAGGUAUAGUCAUUGACUGCUCCUCUUGAAGUCUUCCUUGACUCCACCUAGGCUCUGGGUACACCUGGUAGUUUCUUCUCUCAGAGCCUCCAUUGCCUGGGACUUUCUCUGUGGAGACAGACACCAGACAACAGCCCCUCUGGCUUGGGAGCCACAUCUGACAUGGAGAAUGGGACACUCAGGGAGAGCUGAGUAAAGGGCCCAUUUGGUCAGUUGAGGCCUGGUGAGCUCAGGGCCCAAAGGCCUUGGAGACUUGGUGAACAGCAGGGGGAAAUGUUGGGUGGGAGACCCUAUUGAGAGCCACAGCCGAAGGGACCCCAGCAAACUUCCAGCUGCCGGCUGAUGAUUGGCUCACAGCGGCCCCAGCAACAUCUAGCUGAUUGGCUCCCGGAGAGGCUUGUGGGAAGCCGGUGGUGGCAGUUGGGGCUCUGAGGGUUUUUCCUGAGCAGCUGUUUUGUUUGGCGUGUGUGGUUCUAAAAAUAAAGUUAGUUUCUUUUGACAAGUGGCUCCUGAUUGUGCCCAGCCAGACUGCGGCAAGACCCGGCCAGGGUUAUCGUCCCUGGGUGGACCACUGUGGCUCUGGAGGUCUCUGAGUAUCCAAUGGGGGCGAUGCCAAACCACAAAAAUGGACAGACCCAGAAAUGGGAUGCCUUUCAGAUUAGCCCUGGAGAUUUGGGCCCAGAGUCUGAGGCCAGGCCUGCCUGUCAGCUGUGAGUGUCCACACGGACCUUCUAGGCAAGUAGCUGCCAUAUCUAUGCACCUUGGAUGCUCUGGUCUCUUCAUGUUUGCUUUAUGUCACUCCUUUCUUCUUAGAUGUCCUCCUUCCAGCUGCUCCUAGGAAAGACCCCCCCCUUCUUCAAGGCCUGGAUGGACUAAAUGCCACCCCUCCCCUGACUGCCACAGGGAAAGGUCAUGCUGAGGUCUCCCAUCAGCCCAUCCAUAUCCACUCUUCACCUCACCUGCCUUUCCAGGUCCCAGGAGGCUGACCUGUGUGGACAAUAUCCAUGGGGUCUCGAACCCUGAAUUUUUGCUGGGUUUGGUCAAUAAGAAGCUCUAGCAGCUGACCAGAGGGCUGAAGGACGUGGCCUUGGGUUUCUACUUCCCUGAGUUCUCCUAGCAAGGAUGCUGCAGAUUGAUGUGUCCUUUCAUUGAGAGUCCCUGCACCUUUCUUGGCAGCCAACUCUCUUCUUCCUGGAUCCUGGAUGCCCUCCCUUCCACCCACUGGACCUGGGGAGGUUAACAGGGAUGCAACCAUUAGCCUUGGGCCGCUGCGAUACUGGUAUCCUGCUCCAUCACAAGCAUUUAUGCACAAGAUCUCCUUGGAUGAUCCCAAUUUGACUGUGCAUGGAAUUCUGACUAGGAGUGACCCUAGAAGGAAGAUCCUCCAAACAGGAUCGUGGAGUUGGAGUUGGUGCUAUAGCUGUGCAACACAGGGAUAAUCUCUUUACUGGGGGAAGCGGAAAGCUAUCACUGGAAGUUCCUGAUCACCAGCUGUCAUGGAGGGACAUGAGCUGGACAUGAUGGACACUGCAUUCCAACUCAAAUCAAGUCUGAUUCUGCAGUCUGAGUGGUGAAGGGAAGCUUCCCGGUGGGCAGAAUGUCAGGGGAUAAGUACAUGUCCAGAUGGAGAGAUGGCCCAGGGUGCUUCUUUACUGUCACUCCCGAGCAGCUGAUAAUGGGCCAUCUGGAUGGCCAGCAUCCUGAUGUCUUGGGCACCAUCACUGAGAUGUAUGGAUGAGCCUCUCAGAAUAGUCACAGAAUGUGAAAAGCUACUCAUCUCAUAUAAAUGCCUACAGAGGGUAUCUAUGACAGAGGAAGCCCCAGUCACUUAGGUAGACAAGACAACCCAGCUAUCAGCCACUUCCCCAGACACUCCUGUGCGGAAUGGGCUGAAGUAGCCAUGGCAGCUGGGUUGGGGGUUAUGUGUGAACUCAAAACAUGGACACUCACCCAGGCUCAUCUGCCUACUGCCACAGUCUAGUGUUCAACCUGUCAACAGCAGAGGUCGCUGCUGAGCCCCUAAUCUGGCACCCUUUCCCUGGUUGGGCAGCAGUGGUGUGGGGGUCAGUCAGUCAGCUAUCUGGUGACAGGUUGAUUAUAUCAUAUUUCUCCCCUCAUGGAGGAGGCAACACUUAAUUUGUUUUCCUGGACCUUAUAAUGAUCAUUCUGUGAUCGUUAUAGUCCCACAAGAAUGCCUUAUCU